rfam:Myotis davidii contig53290, whole genome shotgun sequence.
CCAGGGCGGCGGCUGGGGUCAACCCCAGGGCGGUGGCUGG